rnacentral:rRNA from 1 species
GACGAACGCUGGCGGCGUGCCUAAUACAUGCCAGUAGAACGCUGAAGAGAGGAGCUUGCUCUUCUUGGAUGAGUUGCGAACGGGUGAGUAACGCGUAGGUCACCUGCCUGGUAGCGGGGGAUAACUAUUGGAAACGGUAGCUAAUCCCGCAUAAACUGGAUUAUCGUAUGAUUAUCCAUUGAAAUGUGCAAAUGCAUCAUUACCAGAUGGCUUUGCGUUGUAUUAGCUAGUUGGUGGGGUAACGGGUCACCAAGGCGAAGUUACAUAGCCGACCUGAGCGGGUGAUCGGCCACACUGGGACGGAGACACGGCCCAGACUCCUACGGGAGGCAGCAGUAGGGAAUCGUCGGCAAUGGACGGAAGUCUGACCGAGCAACGCCGCGUGAGUGAAGAAGGUUUUCGGAUCGUAAAGCUCUGUUGUAAGAGAAGAACGAGUGUGAGAGUGGAAAGUUCACACUGUGACGGUAUCUUACCAGAAAGGGACGGCUAACUACGUG